CACGAUCAGCUGGUCGAUCGAAAUGUUCGUGCAUCACGCGGGGACACUGACACACCGACGGGGACGACGGGUAACCUAACCCCCACGCCGCGCGAACGUUCCAACAAAGAUCGUCUUUGCAACGCUGAAGGCUAAAAUUCAAUGCAAACACGAACAAACCCGACGUAUGUACGUAAAAGUCCGUGACGCAUAUGCUUGAUCCGUCAGUACUGAGUCUACACACCUGGAGCAGCAUCCGUUUCACGUCGCGAUACUCGAUUAAACCCGACGGCGUCCACCGUAAUUAAUACCCUAUGCACGGCGCAAACGUGUAGAUAACGAGGCCAUCGUUUGCACAGCGCCUCUCGCCGAUCUCCCAGCGGACGGCGUAGUUACCAUCGUUUUCAUAAACGAGCCCCUGUCCAUCCGUGUCUUGGGCCGCCGUCGCCGGGGGAAUACCCCAAAGUUCGCCCACUGGACGAAGACAUCCCGUCCGGCAAGAGAACGUGGAGUUGCUCAUCGUUCUCAAUUAGCCGGCUAGAUCGUGCAGCCGGAUAGAUCUGGAUCCGUAUGGACAGUGAUUCCAGGGACGAUUGCUCGAACGAAGGGGUUUCGAUGAUCGGAUGCAUGACGUGGCUAGCAAUUGCUCGCUUUCGCCACCACGCGAAUCAAUUCUACUCACUCCCUAUUGCUUUCUCUUUCUUUCUCUUUUUAAGUAACGUAAGAAUGGGGUUUGAUUGAGGAAUAGUAGAAGAUCAAGUAUUUCUAGCUGUUUGAGAAACUUAUUGAAGAAACGUGAUAUUUAUACGACGAUGAUCUUAUUAUUAAUAAAAAUUGUCUGGAACAGAGAACUUUUGUAUUUUAUAGAGCAGAGAUGUUUCUCGGUCUCUAAUUAUUCUUCGAAUUGAUUUGAGCCAAAAAUGUAGAUAUCUCUAGCCCCUUUUCAUACGUUGCAAAUGAAAUUUCGAGAAAAGGAGAAAUAUUAAAAGUGUUAAGGAUAUUUAACUUUACUUUCUAUUUUG